AAUAGAUACCCGGGUAGUCCACGCCGUAAACGUUGGAUACUAGGUGUGGCGGUUAUACCAAUGACUGCCGUGCCGAAGCUAACGCAUUAAGUAUCCCGCCUGGGGAGUACGGCCGCAAGGCUAAAACUCAAAGGAAUUGACGGGUCCCCGCACAAGCGGCGGAGCAUGCGGCUUAAUUCGAUGCAACCCGAAGAACCUUACCUGGGUUUGACAUCACGAGAAAAGCUGUAGAAAUACAGUGUCCAUUAGGGCCCGUGACAGGUGGUGCAUGGCUGUCGUCAGCUCGUGUCGUGAGAUGUUGGGUUAAGUCCCGCAACGAGCGCAACCCUUGUCCUAUGUUGCCAGCGGUUCGGCCGGGGACUCAUAGGAGACUGCCGGGGAUAACUCGGAGGAAGGUGAGGACGACGUCAAGUCAUCAUGCCCCUUAUAUCCAGGGCUGCACGCAUGCUACAAUGGCCGGUACAACGGGCAGCGACCCCGCGAGGGUGAGCGAAUCCUAAAAAGCCGGUCCUAGUUCGGAUUGAAGUCUGCAACUCAACUU
rnacentral:rRNA from 1 species